rnacentral:miRNA from 1 species
CACGUGUGUAUAGUUUUGUGUACAUUUGCCUGUUUGUAUAUGAAUAUACAUAUCUAUACAUACAAUCAUAUACAGGCACACAAAGAC